CAUCUAGGCGGUCAAUCAAGUCGAAGGUGAAAACUUGUGGCUCAACCAUAAGCUUGCCUACGAAACUGAUUAACUAGAGUACUGGAGAGGUGGACGGAACUACACGAGUAGAGGUGAAACUCGUAGAUAUGUGUAGGAAUGCCGAUGAUGAAGAUAGUUCACUGGACAGAAACUGACGCUGAAGUGCGAAAGCUAGGGGAGCAAACA
rnacentral:rRNA from 1 species